UACCUGAAACGGCCUGUCCCAGAAGC
rnacentral:piRNA from 1 species